rnacentral:rRNA from 1 species
AUUGAACGCUGGCGGCAUGCCUUACACAUGCAAGUCGAACGGUAACGGGCCUUCGGGUGCCGACGAGUGGCGAACGGGUGGGUAAUGCAUCGGAACGUACCUUUCAGUGGGGGGAUAACGUAGCGAAAGUUACGCUAAUACCGCAUAUUCUGUGAGCAGGAAAGCAGGGGAUCGCAAGACCUUGCGCUGAUUGAGCGGCCGAUGUCAGAUUAGCUAGUUGGUGAGGUAAAGGCUCACCAAGGCGACGAUCUGUAGCGGGUCUGAGAGGGUGACCGGCCCGAGGGGCACUGAGAUACGGGUCCCACUCCUACGGGAGGCAGCAGGCUAGAAAUUUGGGCAAUGGGGAAACCCUGACCCAGUGACGCCGCGUGCAGGAAGGAGCCCUUCGGGGUGUAAACUGCUGUCGUGUAGGGAGAAGGGUACUAAGGUGAACAAUCUUAGUACUUGACGGUAUACAGGAGGAAGCCCAGGCUAACCUCGUG